ACUCCUACGGGAGGCAGCAGUAGGGAAUAUUGCGCAAUGGGGGAAAGCCCAUGACGCAGCAAUGCCGCGUGAGUGAGGAAGGUUUUCGGAUUGUAAAACUCUGUCCUAGGGGAAGAAUGAUAUUAUGGUUAAUACCCAUAGUAAGUGACGGUACCCUAGAAGAAAGCACCGGCUAACUCCGUGCCAGCAGCCGCGGUAAUACGGAGGGUGCGAGCGUUAAUCGGAAUUACUGGGCNUAAAAGCGCAUGCAGGCGGCCUGUUAAGUCAGAUGUGAAAGCCCGGGGCUUAACCUCGGAAUUGCAUUUGAAACUGGCAGGCUAGAGUCUUGUAGAGGGGGUAGAAUUUCAGGUGUAGCGGUGAAAGUGCGUAGAGAUCUGAAGGAAUACCAGUGGCGAAGGCGGCCCCCUGACAAAGACUGACGCUAGAUGCGAAGCGCUGGGGAGCAAACGGAUUAGAUACCCUGGUAAGGCUCU
rnacentral:rRNA from 1 species